AUUGAACGCUGGUGGCAGGCUUAACACAUGCAAGUCGAACGGUAACAGGAAUUAGCUUGCUAAUUUGCUGACGAGUGGCGGACGGGUGAGUAAUGCUUGGGAAUCUGGCUUAUGGAGGGGGAUAACUACGGGAAACUGUAGCUAAUACCGCGUAAAAUCUUCGGAUUAAGGGGUGGGACUUUCGAGCCACCUGCCAUAAGAUGAGCCCAAGUGGGAUUAGGUAGUUGGUUAGGUAACGGCUGACCAAGCCGACGAUCUCUAGCUGGUCUGAGAGGAUGACCAGCCACACUGGAACUGAGACACGGUCCAGACUCCUACGGGAGGCAGCAGUGGGGAAUAUUGCACAAUGGGGGGAAGCCUGAUGCAGCCAUGCCGCGUGAAUGAAGAAGGCCUUCGGGUUGUAAAGUUCUUUCGGUGACGAGGAAGGUUGAUAGGUGAAUAGCCUAUCAAAUUGACGUUAAUCACAGAAGAAGCACCGGCUAACUCCGUG
rnacentral:rRNA from 1 species